rnacentral:rRNA from 1 species
AUUGAACGCUGGCGGCAUGCUUUACACAUGCAAGUCGAACGGUAACGCGGGGCAACCUGGCGACGAGUGGCGAACGGGUGAGUAAUGCAUCGGAACGUGCCCGGUAGUGGGGGAUAACUGCUCGAAAGAGCAGCUAAUACCGCAUACGAACUGAGGGUGAAAGGGGGGGAUCGCAAGACCUCUCGCCAUACGAGCGGCCGAUGUCGGCUUAGUUAGUUGGUGGGGUAAGGGCCCACCAAGGCGACGAUCCGUAGCUGGUCUGAGAGUACGACCAUCCACACUGGGACUGAGACACGGCCCAGACUCCUACGGGAGGCAGCAGUGGGGAAUUUUGGACAAUGGACGCAAGUCUGAUCCAGCCAUGCCGCGUGCGGGAAGAAGGCCUUCGGGUUGUAAACCGCUUUUGUCAGAGAAGAAAUCUUCUGGGUUAAUACCUCGGGAGGAUGACGGUAUCUGAAGAAUAAGCACCGGCUAACUACGUGCCAGCCGCCGCCGUAA